UGUAGGCGGUUGUUUAAGUUUGGUGUGAAAUCUCCCGGCUCAACUGGGAGGGUGCGCCGAAUACUGAAUGACUCGAGUGCGGGAGAGGAGAGUGGAAUUCCUGGUGUAGCGGUGAAAUGCGUAGAUAUCAGGAGGAACACCGGCGGUGUAGACGGCUCUCUGGACCGUAACUGACGCUGAAACACGAAAGCGUGGGUAGCAAACAGGAUUAGAUACCCUGGUAGUCCACGCCCUAAACGAUGCAUAUUUGGUGUGGGUCAUUCAGUUGAUCCGUGCCGGAGCUAACGCGUUAAAUAUGCCGCCUGGGGAGUACAGUCGCAAGGCUGAA
rnacentral:rRNA from 1 species